rnacentral:rRNA from 1 species
AGUGAACGCUGGCGGUAGGCCUAACACAUGCAAGUCGAACGGCAGCACAGUAAGAGCUUGCUCUUACGGGUGGCGAGUGGCGGACGGGUGAGGAAUACAUCGGAAUCUACUUUUUCGUGGGGGAUAACGUAGGGAAACUUACGCUAAUACCGCAUACGACCUACGGGUGAAAGCAGGGGAUCUUCUGACCUUGCGCGAUUGAAUGAGCCGAUGUCGGAUUAGCUAGUUGGCGGGGUAAAGGCCCACCAAGGCGACGAUCCGUAGCUGGUCUGAGAGGAUGAUCAGCCACACUGGAACUGAGACAGGGUCCAGACUCCUACGGGAGGCAGCAGUGGGGAAUAUUGGACAAUGGGCGCAAGCCUGAUCCAGCCAUACCGCGUGGGUGAAGAAGGCCUUCGGGUUGUAAAGCCCUUUUGUUGGGAAAGAAAAGCAGCAGGUUAAUACCCCGCUGUUCUGACGGUACCCAAAGAAUAAGCACCGGCUAACUUCGUG